AUUGAACGCUGGCGGCAUGCCUUACACAUGCAAGUCGAACGGUAACAGGUUAAGCUGACGAGUGGCGAACGGGUGAGUAAUAUAUCGGAACGUGCCCAGUCGUGGGGGAUAACGUAGCGAAAGCUACGCUAAUACCGCAUACGAUCUACGGAUGAAAGCGGGGGAUCGCAAGACCUCGCGCGAUUGGAGCGGCCGAUAUCAGAUUAGGUUGUUGGUGAGGUAAAAGCUCACCAAGCCUGCGAUCUGUAGCUGGUCUGAGAGGACGACCAGCCACACUGGAACUGAGACACGGUCCAGACUCCUACGGGAGGCAGCAGUGGGGAAUUUUGGACAAUGGACGCAAGUCUGAUCCAGCAGUGCCGCGUGCAGGACGAAGGCCUUCGGGUUGUAAACUGCUUUUGUACGGAACGAAACGGUGAGCUCUAAUACAGUUUGCUAAUGACGGUACCGUAGAAUAAGCACCGGCUAACUACGUGCCAGCCGCCGCCGUAA
rnacentral:rRNA from 1 species